GCACUGCUGAGGAGUCCCACAACAGGACGAAACGGCCGUUCAGUGC
rfam:Schistosoma mansoni strain Puerto Rico chromosome 3, complete genome